rnacentral:misc_RNA from 1 species
UCCGGGUUGGACCCGGCGGUCCCGCCAGACAUGGCAACUGGCAGCGAGGGUUGCGCUCGUUGCGGGACUUAACCCAACACCUCACGGCACGAGCUGACGACAGCCAUGCAGCAUCUGUGCACGCUCCCUUGCGGGUCCUUCCCCUUUCGGGGUCGUACCACGUGCAUGUCAAGCCUAGGUAAGGUUCUUCGCGUUGCAUCGAAUUAAGCAACAUGCUCCGCCGCUUGUGCGGGUCCCCGUCAAUUCCUUUGAGUUUUAGCCUUGCGGCCGUACUCCCCAGGCGGGGCACUUAAUGCGUUAGCUCCGGCACGGGAGGAGUCGACACCUCCCACACCUAGUGCCCAUCGUUUACGGCGUGGACUAC